UCAGUGAGCUUUGCCUUUAGAUAUAUAGUUUACUUGUUUGCUAAUUCAAUGCAGAAAACCCUUGAAGAUCAUCAAUAAAAACACAUUGAGUAAUGUUUCUGCAAAUGAACUGUUCAAAUAUCUUGUCAAAAAGAGUUGUAGAGUCAUAUUAAUGAUGUUCCUUCCUCUCUUUAGAUCAGCUAUGUGUGCAGGAGAUCCACGAACUUCACGCAGAGCCCAUCAGUAGCUCUAAAUUCUUCUGCACUGCUGUGAGCAACCUGGAGCUGGAAGUUCUCCAACCUCCAGCUCUUGAUGAUCCAGCAGACGAAGACUUGGACUCUAAACCUGAAGUGAACAGCUUUGACUCUGCAGUGGUCAUUGAGAACGACUCUGCAGAGCUUCACUUCCCAGAAGACAAUGAAUCCUCCCUCAGCGAGGACAGCCUGGAGCAAGAGCUUGAUAGUCCUCCAAGUUCACCAUCCGAUGAGGACAAUGAACUUCCAGUGAGCCAGCAGCUCAUAACAGAUGACAUCUGUGACUCUGCCCUGGAUGAAAACUCGAACCCUUUACCGGAUCAGGUCUCACAAGAGGACUCUGCUGUGAAGUCUACAGCAGAUGAUGGGACCUGCUUGGACAAUAAUGACAUCAGCUGCCGCUACAAACUCGGAAAGCAGCUUGGUGAAGGAGGUUUCGGCUCCGUGUAUGAGGGGAUUCGCAUACAGGAUGGUCUGCAGGUGGCAGUUAAAUUUGUCCAGAAGACCCCAAAUAUGCAAGAUGUCAGCUCUGUGAGUAGACUACACUUUCUGUUCGCUGUGUUCAGUUUAUAAAGUCUUAUAUUUAUUAUAGACCACAGGCUGUGGUCAGAAACCCUUGUUUGAAAACCAACAUUAUUAUUUUG